GCCAGCUGGCCUCGGGCGAACUCCACAGGGAGCGCCCCCCUGAGAGCGAGAGAGAGAGAGUAGCAAGCGCUCGUCUUGAGGCCGACUCGAUGGUUUCCUCACGGCGUACUCACGUAUCAAUCAGGGCCUUGUACUCCAACACGCCUCCGACGAGGCGCGCGGCAUAUCUGAAAUGAGUCCGAAUGAGAGCGUUUAGGGUUCUGGCUAGCGGUCACGAUGCGAGCGAGGUGCACUGCCGUCUCUUUAAGGGCCGCCGGUAAUCACCUUAGUGCAAAUUACCGGCCUGCACAGAGAGAGCAGAGCGCUCGUGUGCGCGUCUGCGUUGAUGCGAGUGGGCGACACGGGCAAGCGGGGGGGGGGGGGAACGCGCGGCCUUGUCAGCCGCCAUCACGCAAGCCAUUCGUCUUCCCCUACGAGAUCGGUGCGAAGAGGGCGUCCGCUGAGCGCCACGCCCCUCAAUGAGGCCUGACCGGCGGGCUCGAUUGGGGAGCUUGGCCGUGUCACUCCCAAUUAAACGAGCGGCGGCGGCGGCAGAUGCUAGCGGCCGCUCGCGGCGCUCUGGAAAUAUUCACUUAGUGCAUCAAAGCUGUCGAAAGUUCACCAAAUGGGGUUCUCCAUCGCUCGGCCUUUUGAAAUCCACACUCGGGUCGGAUUGCCAAGAGUAUUGUCUUUUUGGAUGUUUUGAAAGUGGUUCUAUGGGGGGGCCAAAAAGUGGCUACAAAGCCGCGUCUCGCCUACCUCAAAGCAUCCUUCUGAUCUUGAAACGUCUGCUUAGGAAACACCAUGGCGGGACUGGAGUUGACCGGGAGGGCCAACCUGUUGCUCAGGUACAUGUCCUCCAGCCAGUAGUCGUACACCUGCGGGAUUUAACAUGGAAAAGAUGAUGGGGGCGGGGGGGGGACUUGAGGGAUUACGUUCAGAGUGGAAGUUAAAGUGCAGUGGAGUAAAAAGCCCAUUACGGGGCAUUUGUGCUGGAUGUGAAAAGCGCGUGGGUUGCUGCUGCUGCCCGGCCACAGUAGGCGCCGUGAUGGAUAUCGCCGAGAAGGCUGAGUUGCCACCCGUCACCCGCAGUCUCCGAAGAGGUAUUGAGGCAGCGACAACAAAUAAAUCCUACUUACUUGUCCUUUUUCAGUCUCGUUACAUGAAUCUCCCAUUUUGGGCCACAAUUUGGGAGAGCACGUUCAACUCACCCCUGCGAAAUGGAGAACUUCAAAACGGAGGCCGGCUGCUACGGACCAACGCAGAGGACCGAAAAGUCAAGCAUCAAAGGGUACCAAAGCGGCUCAUCUCAGCCGCUGGCCCCAGCAAACAUGAUCGAUGUUGAAGAUUUCAUCUGUUUUAAGUUGACACCGAGAGCUUCUUCUGCAGAACUUGGCCAAGGCCACCGGGCGCUCCAAACUUCUCCACGAUGGCCUCGGUCUUGCGGAACUGCUCGUCCGUCACCAGAUGCCGCACGCACUUGAGUGAUUCAUCACACUCUGCACUUGACGCCAACCAUCCGAUGAUGAACGCAUCUGUCUUCAGUACGGGGAGGCCUACUCGUGUCUCCAAAAAGUUUCGAUUCUACUCCAUUAAAAGGUUCCUGAAGGGGCAUCCUCUCCACUGGCGCUGUUGCCUUCUGGCUCGUAUGACGACCGGCCUGCUCGUGGCUUGUUUCUGGACCUGCUUAGGCGUGCUUACCCGGUGGUGAUGGACCUUCUUGAAGUAUUUGUUGAUGGCGCUGUAGCACGACAGCAUGGUGAGCGCCGGGAAGGUCAAGUAGAGCAGCACCAGGGUGAGCAUGAAGGUGACAAAGUCCCUAACGAGAGAAGAUCAUCGCCUUUUCCUCAUGCUCUCUCGCUGUUCCCAUUUUGCUAAGUGUGUCUCUCCUACCUGUCACCCCUGGUGUAGUCCAGAGUGCAGCAGGUCCUCAUGGGCUCAAAGUCGUACACGCCCCAGCCCAUGAGUGGGACGGCAGCCCAGAAGAUGGACAGGACCCAGAUGAUGGCGCUCAUCGCGAUGGACGUGCUCCAGAAGAGCUUCUGUCCUGCGUGGUGACGAA